rnacentral:rRNA from 1 species
GCGAACGCUGGCGGCAGGCCUAACACAUGCAAGUCGAACGGAUCCUUCGGGAUUAGUGGCGGACGGGUGAGUAACACGUGGGAACGUGCCCUUUGGUUCGGAACAACUCAGGGAAACUUGAGCUAAUACCGGAUGUGCCCUUCGGGGGAAAGAUUUAUCGCCAUUGGAGCGGCCCGCGUCUGAUUAGCUAGUUGGUGAGGUAACGGCCCACCAAGGCGACGAUCAGUAGCUGGUCUGAGAGGAUGAUCAGCCACACUGGGACUGGGACACGGCCCAGACUCCUACGGGAGGCAGCAGUGGGGAAUCUUGCGCAAUGGGCGAAAGCCUGACGCAGCCAUGCCGCGUGAAUGAUGAAGGUCUUAGGAUUGUAAAAUUCUUUCAGCGGGGACGAUAAUGACGGUACCCGCAGAAGAAGCUCCGGCUAACUUCGUG